UACGUGAGGGUCCGAGCGUUGUCCGGAAUUACUGGGCGUAAAGAGCUCGUAGGUGGUUUGUCGCGUUGUUCGUGAAAACUCACAGCUCAACUGUGGGCGUGCGGGCGAUACGGGCAGACUAGGAGUACUGCAGGGGAGACUGGAAUUCCUGGUGUAGCGGUGGAAUGCGCAGAUAUCAGGAGGAACACCGGUGGCGAAGGCGGGUCUCUGGGCAGUAACUGACGCUGAGGAGCGAAAGCGUGGGGAGCGAACAGG
rnacentral:rRNA from 1 species